rnacentral:lncRNA from 1 species
GGAGAAUGCUGGCUGUGCAAGUCUCCGAAGGGGCGAGAUUUCUUCGCCUCUGAGUUCCAAGGUGAAGCCGUUCAGAAGGGUAGUUGUAAAGGGGAGGCCACUGGGCUGUGCGUAGUCGUCAUAUCCAGGGGGAUGAUUAAAUGUCUCGGAUGGUGUUGGAAACAUACUGAGAGAGCUCACACAUCCCUUUCCAAACUGGGACCACAUGCUAAUAGAGGAGGUUAAUCUCUGUGGCUUUCUAGCUAAUCACCCUGGCAUCUGCCUGCUUGCAUGACUCCCAGGACUUUUGGUGGAAUAAGCGAAGCUAUGAAAAUACACCGGCUCACUCACAGUCUGCAAAACACAGACUGUAGAACUUCCACUGAGAGCUCUUAAAAAGAUCAAAACACCUUCUUUGCUUUAUUCACUUGGACCUGAUUUCAAGAGGCAACAGGAAAACAACAUGGAACAGCGUCCAGUAUACUUGGCAGGGUUCAUUGCCAAUUGGAAUUAACAAAACAGUCUUUGAUAUCCUGUUAUUCACACCAACACCAGAAACAUUUACCAAGUAUGAAUCUUACCUGGCCCUUGGCUGGUGUCACCACAUACAAAUGAGUCAUUAUCCUCCAAGAGGUUUUUCACUUUCUUAACCAAGGCUCAACACAACAAUGCCAGAUCCUUUAAUAUAUGGAUGGAAAUCUAUUAUUUAUGUUUACAAAUGAGCUCGUCCAUCUCCCCUGUACAAGUGCUACAGAGUUGCUGAUGUGCGAUACUUGUUCUCUUAGAAACUCUUCUUGGGAAAAACUAAGCCAGUUGACUGCAUCCAGAGGCCUGAACCCAUACUGAUUCAGCAUUUUACAUGAUGGCUCAUAUAUAAUUUUCAGAAACCAGUAUUCCCUCCAGGAGAUAGUGAGAAAACUCACCUUCAAAGAGUACAGUUUAAACUGUGUAUCGUUGAGUGGAAUAUAUAUGGACUCAAUGCCAACUUGCAAAUUCCAUGUAUAACACUACACAUUGAUUUGUCUGAGGGAAACCAAAAAUUACAAGUCAGAGGGACAAUAAUGCCCAUUCAAAACAAAUAACAGAGGUACCUACAACUGUUAUCUGCAUGGAGAUUAACAAGCUAUGUGUUCUGCCAAACCUAUCCUUCCUUCAUUGUGAAAUGGCAGCAUUGAUUAAUCACCAAAAUGUGUGCAAGUGUGUCAGCUCUAGGUAUGUUUGGUGUGAUCAGUUUUACAUCAUAGAAACAAUGGCCAUAAGUUCAUAAGCCACUUCCUAAUAAUGAGGUGAGUUCCUGGCCCUACUGUCCAGGUGUCAAUGUCAUCUGUAUCAUCACAGCCAAAUGCCUGGAAUGCUGGACUCAUAAUUCCAUAUUUCCCACCAUGCUAGAGGUCACUGUCAAUUUUGGAAAUAGAGGGAGGAUUGUUUGCAAGUUACUCUUGGCAGAAAAAAGUAAGCUGCAGUGAUCUUUGUCAGAGACGUAGGACAGAAAUGUGGGUGGGGGGAGUAACAGAGCUGGGUCGGAGUGGACAUUGGUUUUGCAGAAUUUUGACAAGGAGGUACAAGAUACAGAAUUAAAAGUAUGUGGCAGGCAGAGAAAUAGGGAGGCCUCCCUUUAAUUAUGCCUAGCUAGUUAUACUUUUCAACGUAACCAUUUUUUUUUUCCCAUUGUCUAAGUCACUAAGAAAAUUCUGUCUCCAGAGUCACAACUCUUCACAACAGGAUAACAUCCUCCCCUGAGGCCCCGCCCACCUGCCUUGAGCUUAAGCAGGAAUGUGUUGAGACUUCUCGAGUGAUGGAGCUGAAAUGAAUAGAUCUGGACCUCGAUCAUUCUCUCUG